rnacentral:lncRNA from 1 species
AGGCCUGGUGGUCCAGGAUCCAGUGCUGCUCCCCAUGUGCCCAUCUCACCUGCUGCUUGGCGCCAGCAGCCAUCACCACUCCACUUCUCUCAAGAAUGGUGAGAGAAGCCAUCACCACUCCACUUCUCUCAAGAGACAGAGUCUUGCUCUAUCCCCCAGGUGGGAGUGCAGUGGCAUGAUCUUGGCUCACUGCAACCUCCCCCUCCUGGGUUCAAGUGGUUCUCCUGCCUCAGCCUCUCGAGUAUCUGGGAUUACAGAUGGAGGAAGGAGGUCCCAAACCAAGGAAUGCAGCAUGGGCCUCUAGAAGCUGGAAUGACCCUCACCUCACAGCCAGCAAGAAAUCAGGGAACUCAGUCCUACCUGAGUGAGCAGGAAAUCGAUUCUCCUCUGCAGCCUCUAGAGAGAACACAGCCUGUCAACACCCUGAUUUUGGCCCAAUGAGCCCUGUACCUCCAGAAGUGUAACAUAAUAAAUUUGUGUUGUUUUAAGCUA